ensembl:lncRNA
UCCGUUUUCUGCAUUCUGAAUACGGAGCUUCGUGCGGCAUUGUGUUGUUACCGUAUUAAUAACGUUAUAGUGCGCUGUACUACUUCUGUCUGAAUAGUGUGAACACACUAAAGAGUUUGCCGUCACCUACAUGUUGAACUGUGAACUGGUCCCAGUUUACACUGGACUCACGUUUACAAUCACGGGAAAUGAUGAUAGUCUUGUUGUUGCUGGGUGCCCUUGGUUGUAUGGCAACCACGAGGACCUAUAGUCCGGAACCUGGUGAUCGCCUCAGCUUCACCUUCAAUCUGAAACCAGACUCCUGCAACAUUUACUUCUUCCCAAGCAGAACUCGCCGGCUGAGAAUGUUGGAGAAUAAAAUAAUUCGUGGCGGCGUGCUUCAGGGGGAUUCCGAUGAACUUUAUUGCAAAGGGUUUGAUUUUUUACAUCCAUGUGGGAUUUCAAAUAAAGUCCUCCAGAUUUCUUGCGACGGACGCUAUGAGAUCCGAGAUCAGAAUGACAACACGGCCUUAAUGGUGUCACUGGAUAUGAAUCAAAUCCUAAGGACCGUAAUACGGACACCUGGUUACAACUUCAACUUCACUUUUAAUCUGGAACCAAACUCCUGUAACAUUUACUUCCGGCCAGAAGGCGACUCAGUGAUUAACUUAGUCUAUGGAGGCGUGCUGCAGGAGGGUUUGGAUGAAAUCGGUUGCAGCGGGUUUGAGCUGUUAAAGCCAUGUGGGAUUUUAAACAAGGUCGUCCAGAUGUCGUGCAACGGAAGGUAUGAGAUCAGAGAUCAGAAUGACAACACAGGCUUUGUGGUAACACUGGAAAUGGAGCGUAAGUAACCGCUGUUAUUUGAUAAGUGUCAGAUUACUGUUUUAUUUGAGUAUUGUCUGAUCAUAUGAGUUCUUUCUAUUAUCUACUUCUUGUUGAAAUGUUUCUUUUUCCCGUCGAUGAAAGUGAACAGUAAUUCAAAUCAGAGACAGGAAGGAUAUUCUCCCAUUUCAGAGAAUCAGACGGUCAAAAAUGUGAUGAUUUGAAUUGAAUGAUUGAUGCGUUACCAUAAAUGAUUGCCGAUACAUUCUCUGUCCAUCCACUAAAUGACUGAUUGUUGCAGCACAACCGUAUUCGCUACCUGGUCUCAGUAUUGGGGUUGGCGUCCUCUCCAUGUUCUUGUGCUGUUGCUGCAAGAUCUGCUGCUGUGGGAAGAAAAAGUCCCAAGAGGAGCCGACUGAAACUGCUGCUGCCGAACCAGAGGUCCAAUACCAAAGGCGUUACAAUGAGCCCUGCGGACCGAGCUCAGACCAACUCAUUGAGCCCUUUGGGACAAACUGCUUCAAUCAGCCUUCUUCUGCUCCGAGUGAUUCGCUGGUACACAACCAUCCGUUUCAGGAUUCGCCGCCCUCUUAUUCUGAGGUUUUACCUGAUGCUCAGCAGCCAGCUGCUCCAUCUCUCCCAGUGCACCAUGACCCUGAACCCAAGUUUGAAUUUAAGGGCGUGACCUUUCCCUGUGCUCCCCCACUCGAGUCCGACUCAAGCCGCUGUGACGUUUAUACCUCAGACAAACUCAACUUCCUAUGAGGGCCUUAUUUCCAAAGAUACAUCGGAAUGCGUGAACACUUCUUUGUUAACGUACUGAUUACUGGGACAUGGAAGGAUUAGCUUGAUAUUUUAGCAAAUACGCAUAUUCUUUUAAUGGAUUAAGCCAGUAAGGGAACCUUGCGUGCCCAAGGGCACCCUGGCAAUAUGUGCACGAGAGGUCUUUAUUUAAAGGUUGAAGUGCCCUUUUAUCUUCCUGCCAUAUGACCUCUUAUACAGCCAUUUGCAUUUGCGAAGCCUGUUAUUUUUGUUAUUUGUGAAAUGAAUCUUUACCCGUCCGAUUCUACCUCUUGAUUGGCUCGGACAUGUUGCCUUAUUUGCAGAAUUUGUUAGCUCUGGAUCAGUGGAAUGAAAAAUAACUUUUGAAUGAAAAUCUGAGAAAGAAUUCACAAUAAUGUUCUACCUCGUGAGUCUCACUUGAAUUGCUCACAGGAGCCUACGGAGUGAAUAGCUGCCUCAUUCCUGCUGUUUUACUGCCAUGAUUUACUGCAGACCGGCGUUACUGUGACGACACAAAGGUAAACCAGUCCUAUGUUUGCAAAGUUGUCUGUAUGUGAAAGUCGUCGUUGCUCUAGAGGUACAUUUGCUUGACGAUCUCUUGCGUGGAAUUUCACUUGCAGCUGUUAAAAACUUCUGUUAAAAACUUGUAAAAGUUGAUACUUCCAUUGUAGUUUAGUGUGGAUUCUUCAAAUUAACCUCUAUUGGCUGUUAACGAAUAUUGAUACAUAGUUAGUGUAUUUAAUUUGCUCAGGCCAGUUACAUAAAUAUAUCUAGAUGUGUAGAAGUCAUAUUAUAUGGAUUGUUUGAAAAACACAAAAGAAACAAGACCCAGUUUCGGUUUCCUGUUACAUAUUUUCAUAUGUAACUGCAUAUAUGUCAAAAUGUUACCAAACGUGCAUUACAUUAAGUCUAAUAUAUGUGGGACUUUUACAAACAUAUAUUUUUUGUGUACGUUG